ensembl:lncRNA
AAAUGUGUUGGAGCGGGUUGUGCAAAUGUAGCUGUGUGAACCAGAGAGAAUUAGCCCAGCGGGUCUUUUGUCCUCUGGCUUCUACGCAGCGGCCUGUGGGAAUCAAAUCGGAUUUCUGAAGAAGCUUAAUCGAAGAAAAAAAAACUACUUGACGACGGAAGAAACUGAAUCACUGCACACACAGCUGUAAACAGGGUGAAAGUGGUCCCACCCCAAACAUUCCAGUACCCCGCCUCAUUCAACUAUAUCCAUCCCUGCGAGCCGGUCCGGCUGCACAGCUCCUAAUGUUCACCAAGGAGGUAAGAAGGUGCGUUGGUGGGUCUGCUGGCUCUGGGUUCUGAUGCGGCCACAGCGGGCUGCUUGCAGAACCGGGUUUUGGUGGGCUGCUCGUUAUGCAAGAGGUUAGUCAUCAUGGUAUGAUUCACCCACUGUUUCACUCUUUUAUUCUCUGUACCCUUUCACCGCUCUUAAACUCUUCAGGGGAACACAAGGGGACAGAAUUAGACACCGGCAUGUUUUCCAUUUCACUGUACUGUCAGUGGUAAAAACAGGUAAAAACAGGAAGCCAGAUAAGUUAAUGAGAGUCCAUUUUUUAGGGAGGCCAUUAGCCUCAGAAGAUGGAAGCCAAAGUCACAAGGUGGAAACUGUCACAAUAUAGGUUAUCCAGGUCAACAGAUCAGAUCAGACUCAGUUAAAAAACGUUUUUUAAAUUACGUUUUUUUUUUGUUAAUUGAAGUAUUGGACAGUUCAGAC